UAUGGCUCAGAACGAACGCUGGCGGCAGGCUUAACACAUGCAAGUCGAACGCACCGCAAGGUGAGUGGCAGACGGGUGAGUAACGCGUGGGAACCUUCCCUUUGGUACGGAAUAACUUCGGGAAACCGAAGCUAAUACCGUAUAUCUCCUCCGGGAGAAAGAUUUAUCGCCAAAGGAUGGGCCCGCGUUGGAUUAGCUAGUUGGUAGGGUAAAGGCCUACCAAGGCAACGAUCCAUAGCUGGUCUGAGAGGAUGAUCAGCCACACUGGGACUGAGACACGGCCCAGACUCCUACGGGAGGCAGCAGUGGGGAAUAUUGGACAAUGGGCGAAAGCCUGAAUCCAGCCAUGCCGCGUGAGUGAAGAAGGCCUUAGGGUUGUAAAGCUCUUUUGGCGGGGACGAUAAUGACGGUACCCGCAGAAUAAGCCCCGGCUAACUUCGUGCCAGCAGCCGC
rnacentral:rRNA from 1 species